UCGGAACAAGCAGUGGGCGGGAGCAGUGGGUCUCCGCUCCUACAUGUCACGUGCUUGCCGCGAUCUAUAACCGUGCCCUCGAGCGUGUGUGGGAGAUCGGAGAGGGGAGGUGGUGGAAAAAACCACUACGCGGGAGGAGAAAGGCUUUACAAUUUUGGAACUUCCAUGGACGACCCAAGAGGAGACAGGUUGGACGGUUGGCAGUCAUCAUUGAGGCCGCCCUUGUCAGUAAGCUCCUUGAAGUUCUUCACAGACCACCCAGGUCCCUCUUGGGAUCACCAGCAAAUACUCAGCUCCCUGAUUGGGCCCAGGAGUCCAUUGAUUUGCUGCCACCGUCCUGUUCCUCUAAGAACACUCAUAACUGUCCCAAGACUCAGCUCCCUGAAUGCCAUCCCAGCUCCUGACCUUUGCAUGUUUUCUCUUUGUCACUAGAUUCAGAACGGAAGCCACAAAAUGAAACAUGCUAUUUACUCUGACUUUGCCGCUCUGGUUUUCCUCCUGCCUGGUGCUUGUUUUUCAUUUGACUUUUUCCAAAAUGAGAAGAGAAAAGGGCUCUAGAUUUCUUGAAGAGAUUGGACCCUUCUACCUUGAGAAUGCCUUUUUGUAAUGUCUACAUUUUAAAACUAUCAAACUGAACAGGGCAGAUUUUAAGUAGGCUUACAGAUUAGGAUCAUUGCAAUACAUUGUAGCUAAAUGUCAGAACUAGAUGAUGUCAGCACUCAUCGGAAUGACCAGCUAAGAACUGAGGUGAUGUAGGAACUACUUGGGUCCCUAACAUUCAAGAGGUAAUAUUCCAUGAGCAGAUGUCAGUUAACAAUGUUAGCCAACGAGACAUAUCAGUUCCUGAGCAUAUGUUGGAUGUUAGCUGAUCAGUACUGAUAUUAAUCAUACUUUGGACAGUAGACAGUCUGUAAACACCCAGUUGACACCAAAGAAAAUAACUGAUUUGAUUUUCUGCUAUCGCUCUUGAAGCCCUGACCAUAUCUCUUGUCAUACUUGAGAUAAGUUCACUGAUUAUGUUCCAUCUACACCCUGUAUAUACUUCUGUGGUUGGGAUUUACUGCUUUCUAUUCUAAUUAUUUGUUUACCAGUUCCAUACUAGCCUGUAAGACUGUGCUGGGGUUGUGCUUUAUUACUAAUUGCCAGGCCUACAAUGGCAUAAGUAGUAGCUUGGGAGUAAAAAACGAUUUGGAUCUAAA